rnacentral:rRNA from 1 species
AGUAGGGAAUCUUGCGCAAUGGGCGAAAGCCUGACGCAGCCAUGCCGCGUGAAUGAUGAAGGUCUUAGGAUUGUAAAAUUCUUUCACCGGGGACGAUAAUGACGGUACCCGGAGAAGAAGCUCCGGCUAACUUCGUGCCAGCAGCCGCGGUAAUACGAAGGGGGCUAGCGUUGCUCGGAAUUACUGGGCGUAAAGGGCGCGUAGGCGGACAGUUUAGUCAGAGGUGAAAGCCCAGGGCUCAACCUUGGAAUAGCCUUUGAUACUGACUGUCUUGAGUACGGGAGAGGUGUGUGGAACUCCGAGUGUAGAGGUGAAAUUCGUAGAUAUUCGGAAGAACACCAGUGGCGAAGGCGACACACUGGCCCGUUACUGACGCUGAGGCGCGAAAGCGUGGGGAGCAAACAGGAUUAGAUACCCUGGUAGUCCACGCUGUAAACGAUGAGUGCUAGUUGUCGGCAUGCAUGCAUGUCGGUGACGCAGCUAACGCAUUAAGCACUCCGCCUGGGGAGUACGGUCGCAAGAUUA